rnacentral:tRNA from 1 species
GGGAAUGUGGCUUAGUGGUAGAGUGCUUGCCUAGCAUGCAUGAGAUCCUGGGUUUGAUUCCUCAGCACCA